GACGAACGCUGGCGGCGUGCCUAAUACAUGCAAGUCGAGCGAACCAAUAAGAAGCUUGCUUUUUGUUGGUUAGCGGCGGACGGGUGAGUAACACGUGGGUAACCUGCCUGUAAGACCGGGAUAACUCCGGGAAACCGGUGCUAAUACCGGAUAGAUUAUCUUUCCGCCUGGAGAGAUAAGGAAAGAUGGCUAUUGCCACCACUUACAGAUGGGCCCGCGGCGCAUUAGCUAGUUGGUAAGGUAACGGCUCACCAAGGCGACGAUGCGUAGCCGACCUGAGAGGGUGAUCGGCCACACUGGGACUGAGACACGGCCCAGACUCCUACGGGAGGCAGCAGUAGGGAAUCUUCCGCAAUGGACGAAAGUCUGACGGAGCAACGCCGCGUGAGUGAAAGAAAGGUCUUCGGAUCGUAAAAGCUCUGUUGUUGGGG
rnacentral:rRNA from 1 species